GAAAUGCGAUAAGUAGUGAAUUGCAGAAUUCAGUGAAUCAUCGAAUCUUUGAACGCACAUUGCGCCCCUUGGUAUUCCAUGGGGCAUGCCUGUUCGAGCGUCAUUUGUACCCUCAAGCUCUGCUUGGUGUUGGGUGUUUGUCCCCGUCUCCGCGCGUGGACUCGCCCCAAAGUGAUUGGCAGCCGGCGUACUGGUCCCGGAGCGCAGCACAUGUCGCGCAAACGAGUGCCUUGGUACGGCGGCGUCCAUAAGCCCCUCUCUCACGCUCUUGACCUCGGAUCAGGUAGGGAUACCCGCUGAACUUAAGC
rnacentral:misc_RNA from 1 species